GACGAACGCUGGCGGCGUGCUUGACACAUGCAAGUCGAACGGUAAGGCCCUUCGGGGUACACGAGUGGCGAACGGGUGAGUAACACGUGGGUGAUCUGCCCUGCACUUCGGGAUAAGCCUGGGAAACUGGGUCUAAUACCGGAUAGGACCACUGCCUGCAUGGGUGGUGGUGGAAAGCUUUUGCGGUGUGGGAUGGGCCCGCGGCCUAUCAGCUUGUUGGUGGGGUGAUGGCCGACCAAGGCGACGACGGGUAGCCGGCCUGAGCGGGUGACCGGCCACACUGGGACUGAGAUACGGCCCAGACUCCUACGGGAGGCAGCAGUGGGGAAUAUUGCACAAUGGGCGCAAGCCUGAUGCAGCGACGCCGCGUGAGGGAUGACGGCCUUCGGGUUGUAAACCUCUUUCAGCACCGACGAAGCGCAAGUGACGGUAGGUGCAGAAGAAGGACCGGCCAACUACGUGCCAGCAGCCGCUGUGA
rnacentral:rRNA from 1 species